AUACGGAGGGUGCAAGCGUUAUUCGGAAUCACUGGGCGUAAAGGGUGCGUCGGCGGUUUGAUAAGUCUGAUGUGAAAUCCUAUGGCUCAACCAUAGAACUGCAUUGGAAACUGUCAGACUAGAAUACUGAAGGGGCAGAUGGAAUUAGUGGUGUAGGGGUAAAAUCCGUAGAUAUCACUAGGAAUACCGAAAGCGAAAGCGAUCUGCUGGGAAGUUAUUGACGCUGAGGCACGAAAGCAUGGGGAGCAAACGGGAUUAGAAACCCCAGUAGUCC
rnacentral:rRNA from 1 species